UAAGACGAACCGUGCGAACGUUGUUCGGAUUCACUGGGCUUAAAGGGCGCGUAGGCGGUGGACCAAGUCCGGGGUGAAAUCUUUCGGCUCAACCGGAAAAGUGCCUCGGAUACUGGUUCACUGGAGGGAGGUAGGGGUGCGCGGAACUUCCGGUGGAGCGGUGAAAUGCGUAGAUAUCGGAAGGAACGCCGGUGGCGAAAGCGGCGCACUGGACCUCUUCUGACGCUGAGGCGCGAAAGCUAGGGGAGCAAACGGGAUUAGAUACCCCGGUAGUCCUAGCCCUAAACGAUGGGUACUAGGUAGUGGACUUGACAUGGGUUCACUGCCGAAGCGAAAGUGAUUAGUACCCCGCCUGGGGAGUAUGGUCGCAAGGCUG
rnacentral:rRNA from 1 species